rnacentral:rRNA from 1 species
UACGUAGGGUGCAAGCGUUGUCCGGAAUUAUUGGGCGUAAAGAGCUCGUAGGCGGUUUGUCGCGUCUGCUGUGAAAACUCGGGGCUUAACUCCGGGCCUGCAGUGGGUACGGGCAGACUAGAGUGCGGUAGGGGAGACUGGAAUUCCUGGUGUAGCGGUGAAAUGCGCAGAUAUCAGGAGGAACACCGGUGGCGAAGGCGGCUCUCUGGACCGGUACUGACGCUGAGACGCGAAAGCCAGGGGAGCAAACGGG